rnacentral:sRNA from 1 species
CAGCUAUCAGGGGUGCAGCCUUUUCUGGCGCCGACUGUCCAGAGGAGCGACCACUGCUCGUAUCAAGGUCCAAGUUUCGUUGAGUUUGGACCACUUUCUGGAUCAAAGUGCCAAAAGUGGGCCACAUUUCACUGUCCGCGACUGUUCGAUGUAUAAGCGCGCAAUAUUUGAAUUGAGAAUUCCUCCGAGACAAGACACCAACUAAUUUGGAUUUCCCUGUAUAAAUAAAUAAUCAAAUAAAACCAUGUUUGAUAUAGUUUUUUUUCCUUUUAAUUUUGAGAUUAUAUAUAUAUAAUAAUUAGAUUUACAUUCAUUUCUGUAUCAUUUUACUUGUUUUAUUUUAGAAAUAAAGUAAGCAUUUAUUACUAAUUCUUUUAUUCAUUUCAUUUGCUUUUCUGUUGUUGAUUUUUAGAUUUGCAUUUUAGUGCAGCAUUGUUUUCCAUUUCGUUUUGAUGAACAUUAUUAAAUACGGGGUAAUAGGGGAAUACAAAUACAACAAAAAAAAAAUAUUUUAAAUAUAAUAUUUCAUAAUGAGACGCGGGUUGUCCUACGUUCCGAUUCCUUUGCUGUGUGGUGGAGGAAUCGAGGGUGGGAGAGAGGGAGGGAGGAGGGAGAAUUUAAAAACAAACAACACAAAAACUAGACUCCAUCUAAUUUGACAUAUUUGAAAAGAAUGUAAUCCAUUCAUUGUGUGGGAAAUUCAGAAGAGUUCUAUACACAUUUGGCAUAUGUAUGUACUAUGUAGAGAUAUAUUGCAUCGUGACCACUUUUGAUAUUGAAGCUUGUUAAAAACACAAAGGAAAUGCACACACAGUACAACAAGCGGAGAUUGUUUGUUAAUGGGUUUGUUUUUUAUCAUUUGUUAACAUGCUACGAUUUAUAGAAUUUUGGUUUAAUUUAUGCUUCUCGUCUGCUACUCGACUCGAUUCGAUUAGAUUCGAUACGAUUUGAUUCGUUUCAAAUUUGUUUCUUGUUUUUCUCUUUUUCAUUGCUCUGUAUAAAAGUUCAGUAAAAAAAUGCAGCUUAACUAGGUUCUCGUUUUGUAAUUCCCUCCAAUUCGUUUGCUAUAAGGUUAGUGCUCUCCUUAUAAACGUCAUGGUGCAUCCGUACUUCCGUCUCUUUCAUUUCCAUUUCCAUUAAUUAUGCAUCAAAUGUUGUAAGCAUUGUUUUGUUUGUGUUGCUUUCGGCUUUAUUUUACAUUAAAUCAGUUAUAAUUGUUCCGGCUUCUGCUUAAAAACAUUCUUUCUGCUUCGCUUCUGCUCCGCUUCUGCUUCUGCUCUCGCUCUAAUAUUAUUUAAUUUUUUUACUUUGUUUUUAUCACUUAGUUUUUACAAUGGCGUUUUAUUUUGCUUUGCUUUGCUUUGUUUUAUUUUGUUUUGUUCUCCAUAAAAAUGAGCAUACAGACAAUUCAAUUUAUGUAUAAAUUUCCCUCUGCUUUCCACACUAACAUAUGUAAUCGUCAUCUCAUCAUCAGAAACGCACAAAUAAAUUCUAUUUGAUAAUACCAAGAACAAAA